rnacentral:rRNA from 2 species
GGAAGAGCUCAUACUGAAAAUCAAAUUCAGGUUUGAAUUGUAUGUUUAAGAUGUAAUGCCAAUAGCAAUGCAAGGGUAAGCUUUGGGUGAAGCAGCAUUGAAGGUGAAAGUCCUGUUUGUCCCUUGUGGCUUGCUAUGUACGGCAUGCUUCCACGAAUCGUGUUCCUUGAAAAUGGAGCGCAAAGUGGGUGGUAAAUUUCAUCCAAAGCUAAAUAUGGGUUUGAAAUUGAUAGCAAACAAGUACCAUGAGGGAAAUGUGAAAAGGACUUUGAAAAGAAAGUUAGAAGUGCCUGAAAUUGUUGAAAGGAAAGCAAACGAAAUGAUCUUGUUGAGGUAGAUUGCUUCAUGUGCGGGGGGAGGGUGUGUUGCACACUUGCUGCAUUGUUCCCCUGCCCUCACACUGUGGUGUGUCUGCCUCUACAUAUCAAAAUUUGGGUCUUGCCAAUGUGCAUGGUGCAAGGGAUUUCAACUUUUUGAAUGAUUGCUCCUUCGUCUGGCAUCCU